CCAGGGUGCACAGCUGGAAAUUUGGGGGUCUUCUGUCAGCAGGGGACAGCGUGAAUGGGGGCAAUGGCAUCUCCCGGCCACAUCCUGAUUGUCUGUGUGUGUCUCCUCUCCAUGGCCAGUGCAGAAGCUCCGCAGGAACCAGAUCCAUUCACCUACGGCAAAAGAUGCCGGUGCAAAUUCAACCAACAGCAGAGAACUGGGGAACCCGACGAAGAGGAGGGAACUUUCCGCAGCUCCAUCCGCCGUCUGUCCACCCGCAGGCGGUAGAACCUCCACCUGGCUCCAGGAAACUCAGCCAGAGCCCCCUUGGCACCUGACACCUCUCCCCACCCAGCUGCUCGCCUGUGACCACCUCCAGCGUCCCCUGCAUCAGCCCUGCUUCUCGGACACCCCUUGCUGCUCAGACCUCCAAUAAAACUCGGUUUUCCUUCUUG
rnacentral:lncRNA from 1 species